CAAAUAGUAGAAACUGUUAAUAUAUAUAUAUGUAUAGAGAGAGAGAGAGAGAGAGAGAGAGGCUAUUGUGCUAUUAGAAGCACUACAGUCUUUAUGCUCCUAAAUUCCUAACCAUCCACCAAUUUUGAUGAAUGGUUAAGGUGAGAGAGAAAAGAAAUUGGAAAGAAAUUGGGUUUCUCAAGUUCUCUUCUUUUUAAAUUUCUUUCGAAUUUCUCUUCUCUCUCUCUCUCAUCGUAACCACUCAUCAAAAUUGAUAAAUUGUUAGAAACUUAGGAGCACAUAGGAUACUGUGCUCCUAAUAGCACAGUUAUCCUGUUCUCUAUCUCUCUCUAUAUACUCUCUCUCUAUACAUAUAGAGAGAUAGACAGAGAGUUCAACUACAGUGCUUCCGAAAGUACUCUUCAUGUGGUGCCUUCAAUUUUUUAACUUUUGCAUCAACUCUUUUGACUAUUUCUAAUCCUUUGAUUAAUAAUAUUCACCCAAGGGAGACCACUAAACCCUAAUGGGGGCCACUAUCAUCCCAACCAUAUAUAUAUAUAUAUAUUGAAUUCGGCUACUAUACUUUUAUAAGUAUAGACCGCUUUGUACUCAUAAGUUUUCGGCUACUAUACUUUUUAACUCAUAAUUAUCUAAAUUUUGGUGACAGAAAUAGGAGGGUGGAAACGAGUAAGCUCGCUCAAUCUUUGCUUGAAAUUAAUUUCGAAUCUAAAUUUAGGCUCAAGCUCAACUUAAAAUUAAUUCGAGCCGAGCUCCAGCGAGCCUAAACUUCGAAUCGAGCGAGCUCAAGUACUAAACAAGCUGCUGAAAUUCUUAACAUCGUGCAAUUUAUAGUUCAAUGUUUAUAAAAUAUUAUCUAAAAUUUAAUACAAAAAAUAUUUAAUAGUUCAACAUACAAAAGAAAUACGGUAUUAUAAUAAAAAAAAUUAGAGGAACCGACUUUUCGAGCAAAUGAAAGAGCAAAAGAGUAAUUAAAGUAGGAUUUUACUGGUUUGAUUUUGUGGGUCAGCAAAUAGUCUAAUUCAAACGAGCCCAGUAUGACUCACAUUCGACUUGAGAUAAAUUUUGAGUUUUUAUUCUGUUCAAGCUCGGGCUCAUUUAAUUUUAAAUCGAGCUCGAGCGAUCCGAAUACUGAGUUGAACGCGAGCCGAACACGAACCAACUCACUCAUUUGCCAGCCCUAAGCAGAAAGAUAUAUAUAUUAACAGACUUGAGGACUUUUGGAGGGAUAAAUUUGAUAAUUGAAGUUUUAUAAGAAUAUAUAUUUACUAUGUGAUAGUCUUGAAGGAAACCAUAUGCAAUUAUUCCAAAAAGAUGAAAAAAAAAUCAUAUUAUUCAAAAUUAAAUAAAUAAAAUGGCAUGAGAAGCGUGAGUAAGCUCAAGAGAAAAAUACCUCAAAGUUUCACGCACUCAAUCCGCUUUGUCACAGAUUCGAAAUCUGACCGGACAACUGCUCCAAUCCAACUCUUGAGUCCAAGAAUUGUAAUCUUCUCUUCCAAAGUUUUAAAUUUUAGCGUUAAAAAUAAAAAUAAAAAUUUAGCAUUUCUCUUUCUUAUAAGAAAAAUUAACAGUUUUAUCCUUCCAAAUAUUGAUAAUUGCAAGUAUAUAUAUAUAUAUAUAUAUAUAUAUAUAUAGUUGAGCCGGAAUGCUAUCGAUAGCAAACAGACUUCGUUGCCACCCAUUUGUUUUCAAUGAUGGAGCCUUCAAAUCGACGAUCGGCACCGUUGAACAUGAUCUGUACUACUUGAAGUAUCUAGAAAUUAAAUUUCAUACUUUUUCGAUAUUAUUCUCUUGUUCAUCAAGUGCGUGUAAAAAUGAACGGCCGAAAAUGAAUAUUCUCUAAAAAAGUGAUGAUAGGGAUUUUGUAAUCAAGAUCGAGAGUAUAGAUCUUGUUCUAAAUAGUUUAAAGAAUUUUCUAACAAAAAUUCAAUUGAUUUGGAUAGCUUUACACCGUUAAACAAGAAAACGCCUCAUAUCGACCAUUAAAAUUACAAAUUUUGAAACCCUUUGAUCAUUAGGUCAAUGAUGUCGAAAAGAUUUGAAAUUUGAUUUCUAGAUAGUUCAAGUGAUACAGAUCAUGUUCAACGGUGCCGAUUGUCGAUUUGAGGGCUCCAUCAUCGAAAACAAAUGGGUGGCAACAAAGCCCAUUUGCUACCGAUAGCAUUCCAACUCAACUCUAUAUAUAUAUAUAGAAAGAGUAGAGCUAUUAUACAAUCGGAAGGUAGUUAAAGCGUAGAGCUAUUUAGCAUAAGGUAGUUAUAUAUAUAGAAAGAGUAGAGGUAUUUAGCAUAAGAUAGUUAGUACUUCCGAUUUUUUAGCUCUUGGAUCAACUCUCUUUACCAUUUUAACAAUUGAAUUAAUAUUAUUACCCAAUGGGGACCACUCAACCCUAGGGAAACCACUCAACUCUAAAGGGAACACUAUCAUCCUAACCAUACAAUCUUUAAUCUAAGGGUUAAAAAAUCGAAAGCACAAACUCUCUUAUGCUUCCGAUAGCAUAGUAGCUCUACACUAUAUAUAUAUAUAUAUAUAUAACUAGGCUGGUAUACUAUCAAUAGCACAAAGCUAUUGGUGCUAUUAAUUUUUUAGCCCUUGGAUUGAUAAAUGGGUGGUUAGGAUGAUGUGGGCCCCCUAGGGUUGAGUGAGUGGUUGGUUGAAUAGUAUAAUCUAACAGGUAAAAAUAAUCAAAGGGUUAAAUCUAACGGUGGAAAACUCGAUAGCACCAAAUCCUUGGUGCUAUCGAUAGUACCCCAGCCGGACUAUAUAUAUAUAUAUAUAUAUAUAUAUAUAUAUAUAAAGAGAGAGCGAGAGAGAGAGAGAGAGUGUACAGUUACUAUAUUCUUAUGAGUAUAGAGCCCUUCGUACACAUAAAUUAUUUUUAAUAGUAGAGUUUUCGAAUCGACGAUCCACUUCGUUAAAUAUAAUUUAGAGUAUUUGAAACUUCUAAAAAAUAAAUUUCAUAAUUUUUCGAAAUUAUAAUAAAGCCCAUCAAAUUGGUACAAAAUGAAUAGUCAAAAUCGAACGACAUUCUAAAAAUGGAAGAUCGGAUUCUUCAAUUUAAGAUCGGAGUUAUUGAUCUUUAUCUAGAUAGUGGAUAGAAUUUUCUAUCAAAAUUUCAACCAAUUUCGAUUCUUUUACACUAGUCGUUAAACUAGCAAGUAUUUCAUACUGCCCGUUAAAAAUUGUCAAUUUUGAGAUCUUUUGAUCGUUAAAUAAAUGAUAUAAAAAAAUCAUGAAAUUUGAUUUCUAAAAGUUUUAAAUGCUCUAAAUAACAUUUAACAAUAUAGAUCGUCGAUUCAGAAACUCUAUCAUCGAAUAUGAUUUAUGAGUAUAAAUGCGAUUGUACUCAUAAGAGUUGUCACGCCCCGGAUUAACACGUUUUUCCGGGCACGCCAACAGACCCGCCUUAUAUAUCGAAAUUUUUCGUGUAUACGAAGUAAUAGCUGCAUCUGUAAUCACAACAGCACCACAACCAGUAGUAUAGAGCUGCUAAAUUGAAAAUAAACAUAUAAAUGAAAACCUCGAGUGGUUCUUGUACAUACAAAAGGUCUACAACACAACUCGCUCUAGCGAGUGCCCUGACAAUAUCACAAUAUGUACAAAGAAAAUCCAAAACUACCAGUGAAAGGUACUUAAUUCUCUAGUACGGUAACGAGACGGGUAGGGAUCUAGCUCGCAACUUCCUUCCCACGGUCUGAAUCAGCGACAGCAGCAGCCACAGAAGAAGGCUCUGCAAAAAAGGGGUCAACAACUAGGUGUGAGAACUAUUGCGAAAAGUAGUCCUCAGUAGGUACCGUCACCUACCUCAACUGCUCACUUACUAAAGUUUAUAGAAAAGUGUGCAAGAGAUAGUAAGGAAAGCUGGAAAAACUCUAUAGAUAUAUGUCACUAUACUAUCGGUAACCAACAUUAACUAUCUGUAAAUAAAAAAAAUACGAUCUUUGAUCUAGUCUCACUAGAGAAUAUGAAAACGCCCGUCCAGCCUGUCGAAGCUACACCGAACACCACCCCCGAGGGCUGCCGGUGGAGAGCAAGUCCAAACCAGACAACAACGACAUCAACGCAAAGCAAAAAGCCAAACUUCGGAGCGGCACUCGUGGGCGCGACCCAACCGAGUAUGCAAGCGUGUCUCUACCGAGCUCAAUCAGGCUCUCACAGGCUGUAAUCAAUGCAAAUGGGUCUAACUGGUCUAACCACCAAAGCUCACGUGCCCGUGGCACAAUCUGAUGCAAAAUACAGAAACCUGGGUCCACUGUCAACCGCGACGGCACCCGACAGUCCGAAACAGUAUACACACUACUGUAAAAUAAGCUCGGCGUCCCAGCACGAGCGUAAACUCACCAUACACUAAUCUGGGUAUCCACCGCGUACUAACAGCGGCGAUACAAAAGAACCAUAACUCCUAAAACUAAAUCUUGUAACUUUUCAGAAAAUGACAGUGUAAGAUUAAAUAGUUUUCUCCUAAGUCAAUUUUAAGUCCAACAUGAAUAUAAAUACUAGCUUAACUCCAAAUUCAGAUUUUAUAGUCUAAUCUAUGAAUUCGAGUACUAGCAAGGAAAAUAAACCAAUGAAACCUGUCGACGAUGCUAGAACUUAGGAGGAAUUCCAACGAUUUCGGUAAACAUUAAUCCAUCUCGACAUGCUAGUCCAACUACGAUAGGAAGUCGAAAGGAGAUGAACCACGUGCUCGCCCGGCCUCCCAAUGAUGCAACUACGAUGCCCGCGAGCUCGAAUGGCUCCCCGUCGCAACGUCGAAGUCUACCCGAGCUCGAGCCACGACCCCACCACAAGCAACAUCUCCAAACUAGAGAGAAAAAGGAAGCAGCAACCAAAAGCUCAUUCUCUGUCUCUCUACGCAUAUAUAAAGAGGUAGGAUAAGGUUGAGAUUAACGUCACUUCAAAUGAUGAAAAGGCCCCUCACCAACUUACAAAUACAGCUUGAGUACCGGUACCCAAUUUGGUUACUGGUAUUCGGCCUCUCAGCCCGCAAGCUCGCUCAUAGGGUACCGAUACUAGCCCGAUGCCGUACCGGUACUCAGCAUUAGAUUGGCGCAACCCGAGAGCAUCAGUUAUGCAAUUCCACUGGGGUGCCGGUACUUCUCUACUUGGUACCAGUACUCAACAUUGAAAACUUGCACUUUGCAGAUUCCAAUGUCAAAACUUUACUCUCGCGUCGCAUUGAGUCCGUUUUGCAUCCAUUUCGCGCCAAAACGACUCCGACUUGUCCCGACACUCUCCAGAUGUGUCAACAAGUCUCAGAUGCUGAAACCUACGAGCUGCAGAACACUAGGGACACUACAAAAGUAGUAGCCGGAUUAUAUAUAUAUAUAUAUAUAUAUAUAUAUAUAUAUAUAUAUAUAAUAACUAGAUGUUUUCUUGCCUAAGAUUUGAUGACAAAAAGGCAAAAUUUGGGUUUUAACAACCUAAAAUAAAUAAUCAGGUAAUUAUGAGUAUUCAAACCAGUAUAAUCAAUCACAUUUUCAUGCACUAACUACUUUGGCUUUGAGCAAAAAAAUGAAAAAAAUGUCAUGUGCUCUUUUGUGAUAGUACUUUUCAAAAUUACUUAGAACUUUGAUCUUUGAUCAAUCAUAACAUGCAAUUAUAUCGUUCUCCUUUUGAAAAGAUUUGGGUUUAGCACCAAUUUUAGCAAAUUAGAAGCUUGAUACGAUUCUAUCGUAUCAGUAGGGAUAAUUAGAAGCUUGAUACGAUUCUAUCGUAUCAGUAGGGAUAAACGAUCAUUUCGAGAGGAUCUAACCUCCUAAAAAGAGAGAUAUUAGAGAGAUAGAGAUAGAUAAGAAGGGAAUGAGAGGGAAGAUAGAACAAGACGAUCAAUUUCUUCUUAUUAUUCCAAACCCUAGAAGAUACACAUUUAUAUAACCCUAAUUACACUUUUAUUGGAAAUGACUGAAAUAUUCUAAAAUAACAAUAUAUUAUUUCAUAAUUAGAAAAUCCUAAUAUAGAAAUGUAUCAUUCCACCGCCCUCGAAAGCNCAUUUCGCGCCAAAACGACUCCGACUUGUCCCGACACUCUCCAGAUGUGUCGACAAGCCUCAGAUGUUGAAACCUACGAGCUGCAGAACACUAGGGACACUACAAGAGUAGUAGCCAGAUUAUAUAUAUAUAUAUAUUAAAAUUAAAAUUAAAAGGCCAAUUUGAAUAAAAAAAAUCCACUAGUUUUGCGCAUUUGCAAAAGUGGGUCACCUUUUUCGAUUUUGCAGAUUCGGGCCGGAUUUUCAACAAACUGACCAAAAUACUCUUUACCUUUUUCUCUCUCCUCUUUUUUUCUCUCGUUUUUUUUUCUUUCUCUUCCCAAAGAGCGGCGGAGGCAGAAGCAGAGGCGGAGGCGGCCCGCUUCGGUUUUAUCCGGCGCAUCCUUUCCCUCGCACACGCACCCCACCAACUUCCUUGCCUCCGACCCUACCGAGGCCGCGCUGCGACUUUUUCUUUUUCCCUCUCCGACUCACCUCCACCGCCUCCAACGACGAUGCCUAUUUCACCAUCUCUCGCCCUUCUCACCCUUUUUUCUCCCUCCUCCUUCGCCUCCUCCGCCGCCUCCGACGACUUUUCUCUCAAAUAGUAUAAGUUUUGUUUAAAACAGUGCAACGUUUCUCUGAAAUAGUGUAACUUCAUCAUCUUCUUUUUUUUUAUCUGAUUUUUUAUUUUUCUUGUAAUUUUUUUUCACCCUCUCCGACCCUCAUCAUCUCCUCUGCCGCCUCGAGGCCCUCGGCAAUAGUAACGAGGGCGGCGCCACAUGCUCUUCCUCCAUCUACUCCUCCGCCGGCGCCGGAGGCCCUUGGCGACAGUAACGAGGGCGGUGCUGCCUCCUCCGCCAGCGUCGGAGAAAAAGAAGAACUCAAAACAGCCCGGGAUGAGGGACAGAGGCAAUGAGGUCGUUGUCGAGCAGGUACUCGUCACCCGUGAGGGUGAGGAAAAAAAAAAAAAGGGCCCAUCUCCAAGAAACGAACAAAGAUGCAAAUAGUAGAGAAAAAUUAAGAAUAAAAAGUAAAAAAAAAUAUUUUUUUUAAGAAAACAAUUAUAUAUUAUUUUUUGAUAGCAAUAAUGAUAUAUAAUGGUCCUUCUCAUCCGAAUCCGCUUUCAGUUCUCUUUCUCCUUCUUCGGCGUCGGCGGAGGAAGCGGCACCGCCAUCGUUACCGUCGUCGAGGGCCGCCGGCGCCGGCGGAAGAGAAGAUGGAGGAAGAGGUUGUGACACCACCUUCGUUACUGUUGCCGAGGGUCCUGAGGCGGUGGAGGAGACGAUGAGGGUCGGAGAGGGUGAAAAGAAGUUACAAGAAAAAUAAAAAGUCAGAUAGAAAAGAAGAUGAUGAUGAAAUUACACUAUUUUAGAAGAACGUUGCACUUUUUGGACGAAAAUUAUACUAUUUCUCUUCUUCAUCCUCCUCCUCCUUUCUUGUUUUCGUAUGGAUGAUGAGAAAUAGUGUAAUUUUCACCCAAAAAAUACAAAUUUCAUUCAAAUUAAGAAUGCAACUUUUAUUUAGAAAAAUAUUUUUGUUUAAAACAGUGCAAUGUCCCUCUAAAAUAAUGCAUCUUCAUCUUAUUCUUAUUUUCUUUCUGAUUCUUUAUUUUUAUUGUAGAAAAAAGUAUUUCUUAUAUUUUAUUCUUUAUUCUUUUCAUUUUAUUAUUUUCUAUAUUUGUUUUCUUGGUCCUCUUUCUUUGCCGUCGGUGUCGGUGCAUGCGCCGGCGAAGGCAGAGUAAGAGGACGCGGCGCUAUUUUUAUUACUGUCAUGGAAGAUCGCAGGGGUGGUUGAGGGGGAUCAAAUAGAAAAAAAAAAAAAGAAUGAGCGAAAAAAAUGAAAGGAAGAGAAUGCGGCAUUACGCUCUUUACUGUCGUAAAGAGCCAAGGAAUUAAGCGAUGGAGGAGGGUCGUAGAGGAAAAAAAAAAAAAAAAGAGGGUCGUGGCACGGCCUCGGCGGGAUUAGAGACAAGGAAGGCAGAGGGUACGCGGACGAGGGUGAGAGUGAUCCGGACAGAGGCGAGACAGGCGGUCUCCACCCCCGCCGCCCUCUUGGGAGAGAAAGGAAAAAAAAGAACGAGAGAAAAAAAAGACGGGAGAAAGGGAAUAAAGAUAUUUUGGUCUUUUUUGAAAAUCAGGCUCGAAUGCAAAAUCUAAAAAUACGGCCUACUUUUACAAAAGCUCAAAACUAGUAAAUUUUUUAUGCAAAUUGGCCCUAAUUAAUUAUUUGAUAUUCAUCAGAAAUAUUCAUAUAUAUAAAAGUCGUUGGAAAAUGCAUUAAAACCCCGUUAACUACAGACUAUUAUGAAAGAAGCCUCGCGAAUUUAAAGUCUUUGGUUAACACCUUGAUUUUUUAUAUUUUUGGAAUUGACUAAUUUUUUUCAAUUAAAUUAGAGAUUUUAUCCAACUCAUCAGCAAUUUCAUCAAAUUUGGUAAUUUUAAUUACUUUUUAGCAAAUAAAUUAAAAUAUUUAAUGAUCAAUAGCUGAAAAGGAAUUUGCAUUUAAUAUAAGUCUUAGUCCCUCUGUUAUCAUGAUCCCUACAAUUAGGGCCGGCAAAUGAGCGAGCCGGCUCGCGUUCGACUCGAGACUUGAUAUUUGGCUCACUCGAGCUCGACUCGAAAUUAAAUAAGCCGAACUUGAUCAAAAAAAAAAGGGCUCAAAAUUCAUUUCAAGCCGAGCUUGAGUAUUACUCGGCUUGUUCGAAUUAGGCUCGAAAACCGAGAAUAUAUAUAUAUAUAUAUAGAGAGAGAGAGAGAGAGAGAGCUACUAUGCUAUCGUAAGUAUAGAGAAUCUGGUGCUUCCGAUUUUUUGAUUCUUACAUCAAUCACUUUAAUCAUUUCUUACCUUUAGAUUAAUACUAUUAUUACCAUGUAGGGACCACUCAAUCCUAAGGGUAUUAUUUAAUCCUAGGGAGGACCGCAAUCAUCUCAAUCGUAUAAUUCUUAAUCAAAGGGUCAAAAAUUCGGAAGUAUCAAAUUCUCUAUAUUUUCGAUAGCAUAGUAGUUCUACACUAUAUAUAUAUAUAUAUAUAUAUAUAUAUAUAUAUAUAUAUAUAGAGAGAGAGAGAGAGAGAGAGCUACUAUGCUAUCGUAAGUAUAGAGAAUCUGGUGCUUCCGAUUUUUUGAUUCUUACAUCAAUCACUUUAAUCAUUUCUUACCUUUAGAUUAAUACUAUUAUUACCAUGUAGGGACCACUCAAUCCUAAGGGUAUUAUUUAAUCCUAGGGAGGACCGCAAUCAUCUCAAUCGUAUAAUUCUUAAUCAAAGGGUCAAAAAUUCGGAAGUAUCAAAUUCUCUAUAUUUUCGAUAGCAUAGUAGUUCUACACUAUAUAUAUAUAUAUAUAUAUAUAUAUAUAUAUAUAUAUAUAUAGAGAGAGAGAGAGAGAGAGAGNAAGGCGGAAAAGAAGACAUGUGAGGCUGAAAAGAUUAGAUAUUCAACUCAUAAAUUAUUUUUCUUCAUAUUAUAAUACCAUAUUUCAUAUAAUUAUUUUGUACUUUGAACUAUUAGACAUAUUUUUGUAUCAAAUUAUAGAUAAUGUUCUAUACAAAUUAAACUAUUGAUUGUAUGAUGUUGAGGAUUUCAAGGGGCUCGUUUAAGGCUCGAGCUUGCUCGACUCGAAAUUAGGCUUGCUCGAGCUCGGCUCGAAUUAAUUUCAAACCAAGCUUGAGCUUAAAUUUAGGCUCGAAAUUAAUUUCAAGCCGAAUUUGAGCCGAGGUAAACUCGCUUGAGCUCGGCUCGUUUCCACCCCUACCUACAAUUAAUGGAGUUUAAAUAUUUUAGUUUACACUGAGAACAAUUUAGGGUUAAUUGUAUGUGUGUCCAUACAAAGCAAUAAAAUUGCAUUUUUACCUCUACAAAAUUUUAUAUUAUCUCUAUAAAGUUGUAGUUAGCAAAUAUAUAUUCCACUAAAGUUUCAUAGUUUGCAAAUAUGUCCUUCUCCGUUAGUUAACCGGUUAGCAAAAUUACCAUUUUAUCUAUAAAUAAAUAAAUAAAUAAAUAAAUAUAUAUAUAUAUAUAUAUAUAUAUAUAUAUAUUAUAUUUAAUAGUAUUUAUAAUUUUUAAUAUUUUUAUUCUAACUUACAUUCCAUUCUAUGUGUACCUUAUAUUAUAAAUUUCAAUAACAAUUUUUUAAAAAAUCGCAGUCCGGUGAAAAUUUAACGUCAACUAAUAAUAGUCAACCUGUCGGAAUAAACUUUUAUAUUUUGGAGAUUUCGAGAAAUAUAUUUAAUAAUUAAACUUUUAUAAGGAUGCAAUAAAAUUUUGGAGGAACAAAAAUAUGCAAUUUCAUAGCUUUGUAGGGACACGUAUGCAAUUAUUCCAACAAUUUAAGUUUUAAUAUGCACGGAUAGUAACUUUAUUGCCCCUACGGCAACUUAUUUCCUAUACAUUUUCAAUUUAGGUACGUUAGGCUUAAAAAUUUUAAAUAUAUUACACUUUAACCCUUGAUCAUUAAUAAUAAAAUUUAAUCAUGUUUAAUAUUAUGUUUGACUAUGAUAGUAAUAAUAAUAUUUAAUUAUGUUUUGAAGUACACUUAAAAUAAGGGGAAUCACUUAAAAUAGAAGGACAAAGUGUUUAUUUUGUAAAAAAACUUUUAGCCAUUUUUGAGUAAAAAAUUUUGUAAGAAACUUUUAGCCAUUUUUAAGUAAAAAUUUUGUAAAAAUUCUCGUAAAUUUUUUUUAUUUUUCUCUCAUAAAGUAAGCUUAUUUUCAUAAUUGAAAUACUUUUUCCUUUUGUAGUUGUAUGUUUCUUUAUAAUUAGACCUUCUCGAGUAUUUACUAUCAAAUCUUUUACCAUUUACGUUAGAAACAAUCGGUGAUUAUAGAUAACUGUUUGCAGAAGAAAUGUAUCCUUUAGGUUGGAAAUUAAACAUCUUUGUUUGGCAGUUAACUGCCAUUUUCAAUGAAAGAAAACUGACAAUUAAGUUGAUAAAUAUCAACAUUUACUUUUCUAUGGGUUAUAUAUAUAUAUAGGGGGCCUACAUCAUUCUAACCGCACACCUUUUAAUCCAAGAAUGGAAAACUUAAUAGCACCAAGUCAUUGGUGCUAUUAAUAGUAUUCUAGCCUAGUUUUAUAUAUAUAUAUAGAGAGAGAGAGAGAGUUGGACUGGGCUACUAUUAGUAGCAAAAUCUCAUUGUUGCUACCAGUUUUUUAGCCUUUGGAUCAACUCUUUUCAUUAUUUCUAACCAUUGGAUUAAAUACUAUAACCCAGUGGGGACCACUCAACUCUAUGGGGACCACUCAACUCUAACCGACUAAUAUCAUCCUGACCUUAUAAUUUUUCAUCCAAAGAUUAAAAACUUGAUAACAAAAAGAACGUUUUACUAUUAAUAGUAUUCCAGCCUAAUUCUAUAUAUAUAUAUAUAUAGAUAUCCUUCUUUUGGGAUGAAUAAGUAAUAAAAUCAAGUUCAUGGGUUGUUUCCUCAUGUUUCUAGUGGGGCCAUAUAUAUGUACAUAUUAUACAUGGAUAAGCAAAAACCAAUAGGUAACCUACACUCAUGAACAUCAUGUGAAACAUCAAGGAAUUUAGAUGAGAAACUUCUUGAUCAAGUAGUGUUUGUCCAAAAGCAUAUAUAGCUCAUCACCAUCAAAGAGAAAAAAAAAAAAAAGGAGAAUAGUCCUUUACAAGGAGAAAGAGAAAAUUGACUCUAUAAAGAAGUGAGAUGCACAACAAAAAGAUGACAUAUAUACUAUUCUAAAGUUUGAGAGCAACUAACAUCGUCGACCCACACACAAUAGAUGCUUACUUGGAUGCUUAUACUUUAAGCUUCGGCUUAUUCUGAUGUCUAGCUAUUUGUUCCCCAAUAAUAUAAUGCGAGUUUGUCUCAGAACAUUUAUAUAUAGAGAGAGAGAGUCAGGUUAUUAUAUUCUUACGUAUUUGAAUUUUUUAUACUUAUAAGCUUUCGCUGUUAGAUCUAUCCAUUUAAUCAUUUUUAUUAGAUUAUACAAUUCAACGAACCACCCCCUCAACUCUAGAGGAUCACUAUCAUUCUGAUCGGAGACCACUAUCAUCCUAGCCGCACUCUUCAUCCAACGAUCGAAAAUUUAUGAAUACAAAGGUUUCUAUACUCAUAAAAAGUAAUAGUAGCGCUACUAUAUAUGAGUAGGCCCCUUCAUACUAAUAAGUUUUUUUUUUUAUAAUGGAACUUCUGAAUUGAUGAUCAAUACCGUUAAAUAUGAUCCAGAGUAUUUGAAAUUUAUAAAAAAUAAAUUUCAUAAUUUUUGAAAUUAUGUUAAAUUUUAUCAAGCGGGUAUAAAAUGAACGGUCGAAAUUGAACAACCUCUUAAAAAUAUAUGAUCGGAUUCUUUAAUUUAAGAUCGGAGCUAUUGAUCUUUAUUUAGAUAGUGAAUAAAAUUUUCUAUUAAAAAUUCAACCGAUUUGAUUCUUUUAUACGUUAAACUAGCAAGCAUCUCAUACCAGCCGCGCGUUAAAAAUUAUCAAUUUUAAGAUCUUUUAAUCUUAAGGUAAAUGAUGUCGAAAAGUUAUAAAAUUUGAUUCCUAAAAGUUUUAAAUGCUUUAAAUUAUAUUUAAAGGUAUGAAUUAUCGAUUCGGAAUCUUUAUUAUCGAAAACGACUUAUAAAUAUUGUCAUGCUCAUAAAAGUAUAGAAGCCGAACUUUAUAUAUAUGGCACUCAAAGAUACGUGUUGUUU
rnacentral:lncRNA from 1 species